GUAGCAAAAUCAUUUGUUUUUUAAUUGUAAACUGGAAUGAAAGACUGAACAAAUUAACUUUAUAUUUUUAUGUGUAUUAUAUAAAUUAUAUUUUGCUUAAUAAUAAGUAAAUGUACUAAAGGGGCGAUAAGACCCUAAAAGCUUUAUUAUUUUUUUAUUUUUUUUUAUUAUUUUUAUGUAUGAAAUUUAAAAUAAUUUAGCUGGGGUAGUUGUUUUUUAACAAAAAUUUUUUUAUACGGUUUGGUUUAGAGGUCCUUUAUAUAAGGAUAAAUAGUGUAAGUUACUUUAGGGAUAACAGCAUAAUAAUAAUGGGGAGACCUUAUUUAUAUUAUUGAUUGUGACCUCGAUGUUGAAUUAAAUUUAUAUAUGAAGCAGAAAUUGUAUUGUGGGAGUUUGUUCAACUUUUAAAAAUUU
rnacentral:rRNA from 1 species